ACCAUAAAACUAACUUUAUGGACCUCACGUGACUUUCUCGAGCCAGUGAGGGGUAUCUGUCUGACUUCUCGGCGAUUUUUACGAUCUAACUUCGAGAUAAAACCCCUAUCCAUUUGACAUCUAAAUGUCAUAGCGACUUUUGGGAUAGUUUGCUAUCGACAAAGGGGGACAAAGUCAAGGGGUGAAGGGAAAGGAGGGCCAAGUAGAGCCUCCACGACCCUCGGCUUCCUCCUCACCAGCUCCCCCUCCCCCCAAGUCCAGUAAGAAGUUGGGCCAAGCUGGAAGGGAUUGACCGGGGUUUUGUGUCGGUAGAAGGUGAGAAGAGUUCUCCGCUAAGAUAAGCAAAGAAGAAACACCCUCCUCCCCAGGUUGCUUGUCUGGAGAUGGAGCCACUACGGGCAGGGCCUGGGCGCCUGGAGUCGGGCAUGAAAGAAAAUAGCGCCUCAUCGCUCUUAUCUAAGCCCAGAGGUCGACUUCGCUUGAAAAGAUCGAGAACGGAGGAGGGGAUCGGCACUCACUUGCAGAAUUCAACAGUUUCCAGAAAAUUCGGUUCAAUUCCUUCACCACGGACCCACCAACGAAGGAGCUGGCAAAACCCACUAGCCAACCAGGAGAACACAGACCCGGUUUGUCUUUUGACAACCGAGUGGAACUGACGGGGCCGGCGCCUGCCCUGCGGGUCCCCUCCCUUGGCAGAGAAGAAAACCAAAUAAACCUUGAACAGCCUUGGCUUCG